CAAAAGCUAACUUCUUGCUCGAAUCACCUGGGGAAAUGGGAGGUAAGAAACCACAAUCAAGGUUUUUCAGUAAGUACAACAGAGCCACGAAGACAAGCCGUAAUUACCGGAAACCAAAGGAGAUAGGUAAACAAGAUGUAUAUGCUGUGAUACUGAAAAGAAGUACAGUAGCUAUAACAGAUAUGAUAAGAAGCAAUAAAUAAAAUUGCUACUGUAGAAAA
rnacentral:lncRNA from 1 species